CCCUUCAUAGUAUAGUGGUUAGAGUUACCGGUUAGUAAUCAAUGGAUCGUGGGUUCAAAUCCCAGUCAAGACU
rnacentral:tRNA from 1 species